CUUAACUGACUGAGCCACGCAGCUUGUAACCAACAGAUUGUGGCUCAAGUGAUACAGUAUGACUCACAAGCUGCUUGAAACCUACAUGACACAUUCUCCGUACAUCACCGCAGUCAAGGAAUUAAAAGAAGAUGCAAUCGGAUAAACUAUAAUCUGGCAUGGCACAACCUAAUUUUUCCUGAUUACAAUAAAAGACAAAAUAAG